rnacentral:lncRNA from 1 species
GUAAAUUUCAUUUUUCAACAAGAUUUGGUGUUAGAUGUUCGUAAAACCAUCCUAAACUUUGAGGUUAAUAACAAUCUUGUUGUUUUAAUACAAUAUUAGAUAUCAGGAUGUCUAAUGGAAUGUAUAAUGAGGCCUAGGAUCGGGACGAAUGCGGUUUGUAAUAAGGGUGAUGAUUAUCUUUUUUUAAGAUGAUAUUGACAAAAUAAAUUGAGGACUUUGAUUGCUAUGAAUAUUAGUUGAUGCAAUGGACUCUAAACACAACAAUGUGGCUAUAUAUUUUUUCCGAGUUCAAGCUAGUCUCGACUUCUCGCAAUGUGACGAUAAAACUUUUAAUAAUGUUACUUGCAAUCACUCACUAUUAUAGUUGCCCUACGAUACAAAUUGAUUAAUUUUCUCUUACUUAACCAAACUCAAGUAGACAUUUUUCCAAGUGGGAAAGAUACGGCAAUCCUAUCCAAGAGGAUAUGAAUUAUUUAUUGUCAUUAGAUUUUCUUGAUUAAUUUGUAAACAUUCUUUCCAUUUAUUUCGUUUUGGUUUCUUAAUUAUACUUAUCUAUGGA